rnacentral:rRNA from 1 species
CGGACGGGUGAGUAAUGUCUGGGAAACUGCCCGAUGGAGGGGGAUAACUACUGGAAACGGUAGCUAAUACCGCAUAACGUCGCAAGACCAAAGAGGGGGACCUUAGGGCCUCUUGCCAUCGGAUGUGCCCAGAUGGGAUUAGCUAGUAGGUGGGGUAAUGGCUCACCUAGGCGACGAUCCCUAGCUGGUCUGAGGGGAUGACCAGCCACACUGGAACUGAGACACGGUCCAG